UACGUAGGGGGCUAGCGUUGUCCGGAAUCAUUGGGCGUAAAGAGCGUGUAGGCGGCUCGGUAAGUCCGCUCUGAAAGCCCGGGGCUCAACCCCGGGAGGCGGGCGGAUACUGUCGGGCUAGAGUCCGGAAGAGGCGAGUGGAAUUCCUGGUGUAGCGGUGAAAUGCGCAGAUAUCAGGAGGAACACCGGUGGCGAAGGCGGUUCUCUGGGCCUUACCUGACGCUGAGGAGCGAAAGCGUGGGGAGCGAACAGG
rnacentral:rRNA from 1 species